rnacentral:rRNA from 1 species
GCUAUCAGAUGAGCCUAGGUCGGAUUAGCUAGUAGGUGAGGUAAUGGCUCACCUAGGCGACGAUCCGUAACUGGUCUGAGAGGAUGAUCAGUCACACUGGAACUGAGACACGGUCCAGACUCCUACGGGAGGCAGCAGUGGGGAAUAUUGGACAAUGGGCGAAAGCCUGAUCCAGCCAUGCCGCGUGUGUGAAGAAGGUCUUCGGAUUGUAAAGCACUUUAAGUUGGGAGGAAGAGCAGUAAGUUAAUACCUUGCUGUUUUGACGUUACCAACAGAAUAAGCACCGGCUAACUUCGUGCCAGCAGCCGCGGUAAUACGAAGGGUGCAAGCGUUAAUCGGAAUUACUGGGCGUAAAGCGCGCGUAGGUGGUUUGGUAAGAUGGAUGUGAAAUCCCCGGGCUCAACCUGGGAACUGCAUCCAUAACUGCCUGACUAGAGUACGGUAGAGGGUGGUGGAAUUUCCUGUGUAGCGGUGAAAUGCGUAGAUAUAGGAAGGAACAC